rnacentral:piRNA from 1 species
CCGAAGUUCAAGGCAUCCUCUACACAUA